AUUGAACGCAGGCGAGUGGCGCACGGGUGCGUAACGCGUGGGAAUCUGCCCUUAGGUUCGGAAUAACAGCUGGAAACGGCUGCUAAUACCGGAUGCCUGAGGAUGAGCCCGCGUUGGAAUAGGUAGUUGGUGGGGUAAAGGCCUACCAAGCCGACGAUGCAUAGCUGGUCUGAGAGGAUGAUCAGCCACACUGGGAAGGAGACACGGCCCAGACUCCUACGGGAUGCAGCAGUGGGGAAUGUUGGCAAACGGGCGAAAGCCUGAUCCAGCAAGGCCGCGUGAGUGAUGAAGGCCCUAGGGUUGUAAAGCUCUUUUACACGCGAAGCGGUACCGGGAGAAUAAGCCCCGGCUAACUCCGUGCCAGCAGCCGCGGUAAUAC
rnacentral:rRNA from 1 species